GAUUAUAGAACACAUGUGCUCCUUAAAGAAAAACACUGUGCAGGGAGAUAACAGUCAUCAAACAUGGAAACCUUUGAGUUGAAUAGCUCAUCCAGUUUCCCCACAUUAUUUCCAGUGGAGGACCCAGCACUCAGAGACGCCCUUCUUUAAAGAAGCAGUUUAUCCAUUCUGCAUAUCCAGAGGUUCUCCUCAUGACUCAGAGCCCCUCUGAGAAGAGAAACAGUCUGGUGUCUCGGAUUUGUUCCUGUGUUGCCCACUCCUGCUGGAUCUUGUCCAGUCGAGGGACAAACGUCCUGAAGAAUGGGAAGAAAGGAGGUUCUGAAGGCACAGAUUCCAAUACCAUGCCAGAGGUUGAGGACACUGGUGCUUGAAGGGAAACUGGCACACUCUGGAGCCCCAAGAAGAGCUGGAGCUGGAGGCAUGCGGCCCACGAAGGGUAGAAGUACCAGCCAUGACCAAGAGCCCUUCACAUCAUCUGGCAAUCCAUCCAGAACCCACUGAAUGGAGGACAGCACAGCGAGGUCUUUCUCAUUUUGUAACUGCAAAAGCUGGAACAAGAGCCAGAGAAGCCAAAGAAGCAGUACAAGUCCAACAGCUUUUAGAAUAACCCUGAGAAAAUGGUUGAAUUUUGACCAGUUUUGCAAUUGGAUACUAUGAGAAGAGACCUUCCCUCCUGCACUGGAUUUCAUCAUCAUACCUGGAGGCCAUUCCUCAUGGGACUUUGGCCAUCUCAUAUCCACCUUUAAGCAUGUUAUUCCCAUUUCAGCUGUGGUAGCUCUGGGUAUCCUUCCCUAGGAGAAAAUAUUAAUCUUUUCUCCCUCUGAGUUCUGGAUUAAACUGUCUUAUCUGAAACUGGGUCACUUUAGGCUAGAAGCACCACUAGACAUUCCUGUUCUCAGAAGUUGCCAAGUUCAUGUCAUAUCUGUUUCAUUGUUAACGG
rnacentral:lncRNA from 1 species